GUCAGUGCUGCAAGUAAACGUAAAGGACUUCUGAAGUCUUCACGCUAUGUUUGAAAGUAUGAGAUGAAUGUCGCAGUCCUUCUGGUCCUCAACGUUCAACUUAUAUAAUGAAGACUCUACUUGCAUUAUUGCAUCUGAGUUAAAAUGGGCAUAUUGCUUGAACUAAAAGCAAAGCUACUCUGAAGAAAUGCCGUUAUGAUUAGGAAAUAGAUGCAUGUCGCAGUAACUUUAGGGCUCACCGUUUCAAUGUUUGCAUGAAGACUGCAGUGGCAGUAAUAAAACUUGAUUGUUAUGGUGAAUAAGUGUGUGGUCAUGAAAAAAAAUAAAUCUGUUGUUUACUUGCUUAA